AGAACUCCCAUUUUCACACCAAAACAGCCGACCAAACAGGGAAGGAAAGAAAGGAAGAAAAGCUUCUUCAUUCUUGCACCAAUCUUUCUCCAUUUCAUCUCAAAAUUUGCAUCCAACUUAACCACUUGGAGAUUCACUUAGGCAAGGAGAAGAGCUUCAUUUCCCCGGUUUUCUUCAGGCUUCAAAGGGCCGAAAAUUCUGACUUGAACAACCACCAAAGUAGGGCCGAAUCUCGGGGAAGUAUGGAGAAACCCUUCGUUGUCCUUUUGUUUAGGAUUUCUACUAUAUUUUGGCUAUGCCCUGGUUUGGGUUGUACUUUUGAAAUUAAAAUGUAAAAUUUGGGCCCUGACGUGUAUUUAGGAUUUAAGUUGUAUUAUGAUUACCCGAUGUACUGGUUACAUGUUAAAUGACUUGAUAAGUUUUAACGCUUCUGCAUUAUUUGUAUUCAUGUUGCUCUCUUCGAAA